rnacentral:rRNA from 1 species
CAGUAGCCGCGGGAAUACGUAGGGUGCGAGCGUUAAUCGGAAUUACUGGGCGUAAAGCGUGCGCAGGCGGUUCGUUAAGACAGAUGUGAAAUCCCCGGGCUUAACCUGGGAACUGCAUUUGUGACUGGCGAGCUAGAGUAUGGCAGAGGGGGGUAGAACUCCACGUGUAGCAGUGAAAUGCGUAGAGAUGUGGAGGAAUACCGAUGGCGAAGGCAGCCCCCUGGGCCAAUACUGACGCUCAUGCACGAAAGCGUGGGGAGCAAACAGGAUUAGAGACCCCCGUAGUCCCUGUCUCUUAUAC